rnacentral:tRNA from 1 species
GUCAGUGUCGUCUAGUAGUUAGGACGCGAGCUUCACACGCUUCGAAGAAUGAGGGUUCAAUCCCCUCCUCUGAUA